rnacentral:rRNA from 1 species
AACGAACGCUGGCGGCAUGCCUAACACAUGCAAGUCGAACGAGACCUUCGGGUCUAGUGGCGCACGGGUGCGUAACGCGUGGGAACCUGCCCUUAGGUUCGGAAUAACUCCCCGAAAGGGGUGCUAAUACCGGAUAAUGUCUUCGGACCAAAGAUUUAUCGCCUUUGGAUGGGCCCGCGUUGGAUUAGCUAGUUGGUAGGGUAAAAGCCUACCAAGGCGACGAUCCAUAGCUGGUCUGAGAGGAUGAUCAGCCACACUGGGACUGAGACACGGCCCAGACUCCUACGGGAGGCAGCAGUGGGGGAAUAUUGGACAAUGGGCGAAAGCCUGAUCCAGCAAUGCCGCGUGAGUGAUGAAGCCCUUAGGGUUGUAAAGCUCUUUUACCCGGGAUGAUAAUGACAGUACCGGGAAAAUAAGCUCCGGCUAACUCCGUG